rnacentral:misc_RNA from 1 species
GAUGAAGAACGUAGCGAAAUGCGAUUAGUAGUGUGAAUUGCAGAAUUCAGUGAAUCAUCGAAUCUUUGAACGCACAUUGCGCCCCUUGGUAUUCCAUGGGGCAUGCCUGUUCGAGCGUCAUUUGUACCUUCAAGCUUUGCUUGGUGUUGGGUGUUUGUCCAUUCUCUUGCAGAGGGACUCGCCUUAAAGUAAUUGGCAGCCAGUGUUUUGGUUUUGAAGCGCAGCACAAGUCGCGAUUCAAAGCUAUACGCCCGCUUCCACAAGCCUUUUUCACUUUUGACCUCGGAUCAGGUAGGGAUACCCGCUGAACUUAAGCAUAUCAAUAAGCGGAGGA